rnacentral:rRNA from 1 species
GUCAGUAGUCAUACGCUCGUCUCAAAGAUUAAGCCAUGCAUGUAUAAGUAUAAAUAGUAAACUUUAAAACUGCGAAUGGCUCAUAUAUCAGUUAUAGUUUAUUUGAUGAACUCUUACUACUGGAUAACCGUAGUAAUUCUAGGGCUAAUACAUAAUUGAAACCUUAACUAUUGUAGAAAAGGUGUGUUUAUUAGUAUGAAAACCAUAAGUUUCGGCUUAUUAGUGAGUAAUAAUAACCAAUCAUAUCGUAUGCUUUAAUAGUAACGAUAUAUCUUUCAAGUUUCUGCCCUAUCAGCUUUCGAUGGUAGUGUAUUGGACUACCAUGGCAGUAACGGGUAACGAAGAAUUUGGGUUCGAUUUCGGAGAGGGAGCCUGAGAGAUGGCUACCACAUCCAAGGAAGGCAGCAGGCGCGUAAAUUGUCCAAUCCUAACGUAGGGAGACAGUGACGAUACGUCAUGGGGAAGAACUUUAAGUUAGUCCACCAGAUUGAGAACAAAGUACAAUUCUUAUCGAUAAACAAUUGGAGGGCAAGUCUGGUGCCAGCAGCCGCGGUAAUUCCAGCUCCAAUAGCGUAUAUAAACGUUGCAGCA